AUGCUCAGCGCUUGUCCUCAAGUGACCCCUCCCUCCUCCCUGCUCGGGGCCUGGGCAGGGAGAGCAGCGGCCGGGCACCGUCCCAGACCUGAGGGGGCCCGCAGAGCUGCCGCAGGGGCGAGGAGGACGGGGCAGGGGCUGCGGCCGCGGCCGCACGGAGGGCAGGGGGCCUUCCCCGUGGGCCGGCGCCCUCUGCAGACCCCUGAGGAGCCUGGCUCUCCCAAGCGCCCCGCUCCGGAGGGGAAGGGCGGGGGCCGCUCCCUGCUACACGCGGGCAAGCAUCGUGCCAGUCACACACACGAACCCCGGGGACGGCAGCCUUGGGUCCGCACACCGGCAGCGCGUCACCCACACACGCGCACACACACGCAGGGGACUAGCCUCCCCUCCCCCCAUCACGCAGUGACACGCUCAGGGACCGCAGGGGCUGCUCGAGCGGCGCCCCCUCCCCGACCUGGAGCGUCACGGCGAGCCCCGGGCCGCCCCCGCAGCCGCGCGCAGAGGAGCCCCCUCCCCGUCAGAGCCGCGCGCCCCCCCGCGCUUGCAGCCCCCCGCCCGCCGCACACGCUGCCCCGGCACACGCAUCGCUUGCAGCCCCCCGCCCGCCGCCAGACUCCCCGCCGCAGCGUGCGCGUGUGCCGGGGGGGGGGGGUCCCCGUGCCCGCUGCCCUCCCCGGGGGCCGGGCAUCCCCGCAGGGGCGGCGCGGGCUUCCCCUGUUAGCCUCGGGGGUUCUCGAGGGCGCAGGCAGGGGGCACUGCCAGCGGCCAAGCUCCCGUCCCCGGCCGCCCCCUCCCCCCGGAUGCCAGGCUCAUUCCGCCCGCAGAGGGUGGGGGAGGGGGCGGAGGAAGGGGCAGGAGCAGGCCGGCCUCGGAGCUGCCGGGAGGAGGCACGUGUUCGCUUAUUAUGAUGUUUUUCGCGAGGGGCUCCUGGGGGCAGGGGCUCCCGGGGGCAGGGGCUCCGUACCCUUCCUCUCCCUUGGCACGCGCGGGGCAGUCACUCGGAAAGGGGAGCGCCCCUUCCCGGCGCGUGGGGGGGUGGGGAAGGGGGGGCGCGCCGGGAAUUCCCGCCCGCGCGCCCCGACCCCCGCCGCCGGGCCUGCAGGGCCUGCCCGGCCCGCGAGCGCGCUCCCCGCGCCCCGCCCGGCGGCGCGCCGCUCAUGCAUAUGCAAACAGCCCCAGGCUCCCCGGGCUCUGGCACGGGCAGCCUCCCCUCCGCCCGAGAGGGGAGAGUUGUUUAAAAACCCGGGGCUUCCCAUUGGCCCUCGCGGCUCCACCCUAUGCAAAUGA
rnacentral:lncRNA from 1 species